rnacentral:lncRNA from 1 species
CAUGCGUAGUCGGCCCAAGCACGCUCUUUCUCCAUCCCUGCCCCGCCUCCUCUCUUCUCAACCGCUUUUCAAGAGCUGUUGGGGAAGUGUUUGGGCUUCUGACUCAAAGUGAAAGGACUGAGUAUAGGGAGUUGAACAUCACCGCUGUGACCACCUCUCUGGAUUUGUGACUACCUACAUAACUCAGUAUCCCUGAAAGAAUUGUCAGAAAAGACCAUGAACCAUAAUGAGAUGUCACAGCCUGGAGUGACAUGUAAAGUAGCUUCAAAAACAUUCUUCUUGGUGUCAAUGUUAACAAUAAAGUAGAAGGAAAUGAAUCUUUGCCAAGAAAAUCCCAUGGACAUUAUGGUCCACAGGAUCAUGAAGAAUCAGACAAGGCUGAAUAAUUGAAUGACAACAAAGAUACUGGAAUGGCUUGCUAUUUCCUUUUCCAAAUCACUGUCCAGAUGAGGAAACUGAGACAAGCAGAUGUUAAACGACUUAUCCAGAGUCACACAAUUAGUGUGUAUCUGAAGCUGGACUUGAAUGUUUUGAAUCCAGGCCAGAUUUGAUUGAGAAUAGAACUGAGAAUCCUGAUUCACAUAAGUUUUCAUAAAUGAGAUUAAAGUCUUAGAUGAGAGAGAGUGGGAGGAAGGGAGAGAGAAAAAUUUGGAGCACAGGGUUUUACAAAGACCCAGAGAACUGGAGUGACUUGCCUAAAAUCACCUGAAUACUGUGUGUCAGGAUAAAGGCUUGAAAAGAGAUACUUGAUUCCAAAUCCAGAACUUUUGCCACUGUUCCAGGCCAUGUAGACCUUUAAAGGAAGCUAUGAGAAACUACUUUCCCUUCUUGAUUAUGAAUGAUCGUGAAAUGGAGAAUGAAAGUUUCUCCAUCUUUUCUCCUCCAUGAACUGCAGGUGUGUAAAAUUUUUCCCUUUUGAUAUGAUUUUCAUUGUGCAGCAUGAUGAACACUGAAAUAUAUUUAUAAGAAUUGAACAUAUUUAAGCUAUAUCAGAUUGCUUUCUUUCUUGGGAAGUGAGGAGAAAAUGAGGGAGAAAUAUUUGGAAUACAGGAUUUUGCAGAGUUAUUGGAGAAACUGUUCAUGUUUGGCCCAUUUAAUGUGACUCCUACAAUGCCUCAGAGGUCACUGAAGUUUGUGGUACUCACAUUUGAAAAGAUUGGGGACCAAUGACCCAAAUGAUCUCUAAGUGUAUAAUGAGCUCCUGGUUCUGCUCAUUUCAUCUCCUAAUACAAAUAAAAUAGAAGAAAAAGAAGAUAUUACACUUUCAUGGGACAGUAAAAAUAUAUUUCAGUUUGUCCCAGGAGGACUCCUAUUCUGCCAGUCUACAUUUGACCUGAGGAACAAUUGUUUAUUUAUUGUGAGGAAAUCUUGAGAUCUUGGAAUUUUCUGACCACUAUCUUCCCAGAAUCCUCCUGGGAACUCCUUUUUAAUUUGAAUUCCAGAGCAGAUGUCCAUGGUCUUGAGGCACAUCUUUGCAAAUAGAAGACAUCUUAUGAGAAUGAAUGUAUAACAGAAUGAAGAAGAGACAUUCCAUUUGAGAAUGAAUUUUGGAAGACACUUUGGGAAAUAUUUGGAGCAAGCAGCUGGGUCAGGGGGUGGUGCUACAUUCCUAACUCCUGCAAUGUAGAAGAGAAAACUGUAGCUAAUAUAAAUAAAAUAAUGAGAGACAAACUAAAUGCAAAAAUAAGUGAUAAAACAUUGCUAAUUUUGCCUUUACAACUCUACAUGCUUCCAUGGAAUGUGAGUUCAAUAGCAGUUGAGAAAGGAGAAUCAGCAAGAGAGAGAAACUCUGAAGUUGUGGGAUACUGGAAACAAAGCAUAUUUGGAACCGAAGCUGAUUUUCCUUCCUCUGAAGUAGUCACCGUUCAUUUAUAACAUGGUUGUUUUGUCAUUAUUGAGAAAAACAAACAGCUAGUUUGAUGGAAAAGGCCGCCCCAGUCCCCUGGGAAGGGAGAGUUCAGAUGUGAUACAAGCUGACAGAGGGUGAAAAAAUAAUUUUCAAAGUGAUAAAUUUGGGCAGCUGUGAUGGACAGCAAAGAUGGCAUCUGCCCAGAGAAGUAAAAUUCAAGGUAUCCUUUGA